CCUCUUUAAGAGUCAAAAGGCGGCCUCAGAUCUUCAUGCUAAUGAAACCUCACAGUUUGUUCUAUCUGGGCCUCAUCUGCACAGCAACCAGAAGCUUCCAUGGCCCAGCAGUUUCAACCAAAUAGUUCAGGAGCCAGUAUUCACCCGUUGCAAUGUGAACGAGGGAAUCCAGGCCCUGCUCAGCAAGGACACCGUGGCUCUGCAAUGAUCUGUAGGAUUUGUGCUGCAGAAUAAUUCUUGCUGGAUUCAAGAAAUAACAGGCUGGUUCUUGUCACCAUCUUCAUAGGAUACAGAAAGGGGUGAGAAAUCCUGCCUCAGACCCCACACCGCUGUUCUAGCUGAAGUCUCCAACUUCUCUUUAAACAUCAGGAAGCCUUUCGUACACACUUUUGUGACAAACUGAAAAUUAGUUGUUGAUUGUUAAUAUUUAUUCUCUGUUUUCACAUUAGAUUAAAAUACAGAACAUACUCUUUCAUCCCACCCCCCAAAAUACCUGGUUACUUGAUUCUCAGUUAUUUGAAGUCCAGAUAAUAACUGACUCUAGUCUAUUUAUGUAACUAUUGUUAUCAUCUAAGUAUUAAAUAUUCUUAGCUUACAGAGUGUCUUUAAAUCUGUUUCAUC
rnacentral:lncRNA from 1 species